rnacentral:misc_RNA from 1 species
UACGGAGGGUGCGAGCGUUGUUCGGAAUUAUUGGGCGUAAAGGGCGCGUAGGUGGCUCGAUAAGUCGAUCGGUGAAAUGCCGGGGCUCAACCCCGUGCCUGCCGGCGAUACUGUCGAGCUAGAGACAGGUAGAGGCGAGCGGAAUUCCGGGUGUAGCGGUGGAAUGCGUAGAGAUCCGGAAGAACACCAGAGGCGAAGGCGGCUCGCUGGGCCUGAUCUGACACUGAGGCGCGAAAGCGUGGGGAGCAAACAGG